AUGGACCUCGGAAGGGGCCGGCUCCCCCCCACGGAACUCGGAAGGGGCCGGCUCCCCCCCAGGGAACUUAGAAGGGGCCGGCUCCCCCCCCCCAUGGACCUCAGAAGGGGCCGGCUCCCCCCCACGGAACUUAGAAGGGGACGGCUCCCCCCCCCCAUGGACCUCAGAAGGGGCAGGCUCCCCCCAUGGACCUCGGAAGGGGCCGGCCACGGACCUCAGAAGGGGCCAGCUCCCCCCCACGGACCUCGGAAGGGGCCGGCUCCCUCCUAUGGACCUCAGAAGGGGCCGGCUCCCCCCCACGAACCUCGGAAGGGGCCGGCUCCCUCCUAUGGACCUCAGAAGGGGCCGGCUCCCCCCCCACGGACCUCAGAAGGGGCCGGCUCCCCCCACGGACCUCGGAAGGGGCCGGCUCCCCCCCACGGACCUCGGAAGGGGCCGGCUCCCUCCUGGGGAUGUCCAUGCCAAGGCUCCUGGGCUCCUCGGCGUUUCCCGUCACCACCCUUCUUACGGGUGUUCUUUCUCUGGCCACGACCCACAGCCUUGAGUUGGGAAGCAGCCGUUUCUGCCGUCCUUUCUUAACGACGACGGGAGGUGUUUGGUCCAGAUUUUGGAAUGCAGUCUAUUUUUUGUAUAAAUAUUGGGCUAUUUAAGGCCAGAAGAGUUUUCCUCGCAGCAGUCCUGUGAGGCAGGUUUGGCCAGGAUUCGCUUCUCCGCCUCGUGACCGCAGAGCUGGUCCGCUCCGGGCAGAAGCGGAGCAGACAGACGGCGUCCCGGGUUGGGGCCUCCGUGCGCCUCGGUCUUGCUGGGUCCUCCUCCCCUGACUCCCUCUCUGGGCCCUGCUUCCUGUUUCUCCAGAGGGCCCUUCUUUGCUGCUGCUGUUGGCCAAGGAGGGCGCUCUGGGGCCCGCCACGCUUCGUGGGGAGCCUUGGACAUUGCUCUGCCGCUCCUGCCUCGGCCCCGGGGCCGCAGAACUCCCCAGGGGAGCGGAACCGACCGGAAGCCCAGGGAAGCGCCUGACAAAAGAAACGAGUCCGGGACCACCUGCAGGAGGCUCGUUGGCUGUUUUCCGAGUCGCUCUGCAGCCCCCGCGGCCCGGUGGGUAUUGGAGGUGGCCACCCCGAGGGGCUAACGAGGCUCAGCGGUGGAGGGAAGGGAUGGGGAGGUCACGGCCUCCUGCCGGUCAGAGCCUCCUCUGGGAAAUGGGGCUGGGCCUGCCUGGAGGGAGCGGCCAGCCUUGGUGAGCCUCGCGUUGGUCGCUAUUAUUUCCUGGCUCUACGUAGCCAUAGUUUAGAGCCUUCGAAUCCAGGACAUUUAUUCGGCUAUCCCCCUUUGCAGAGCUGCUGCUGCCUUCCUCACGGAAGUGUUCUGAACAAUAACAGCAGAUGUGGAGAGAGCGACUCACAACAGCCUGCGGAGGGGGAUGCUCCUGGGAUCUCCAUUUUGCAAGUGAGGAAACUGAGGCAAGCAGCAGCAAAAUGACAAGGAUGUAUCGGGGGCCAGGCCUGGAAUCGGGGCUCCCCGACUCUUGGCCCCCCCGGCUGUCUCCAUUCAGAGCCCAUCCCCCACUGGGCCUGCCCGA
ensembl:lncRNA